GACUGACCUCUAAUAUGCAUGUGGAGAGGGGAGCACAAAGGCCUGGCCCCCUUGCCUCAAUGGCGUAAUUCCAAAGGGCCAUCCCAGUUCCAGAACUUUCUGCAGGAUUAGAUAAAGACUUCAGCUGCAGCAGAGCUUAACUUCCCCCUCUCUUCAGUCUUGCUGCCCUCACUUCUUUCAGGGUUGUUACCAGGAGCAUGUCCCAGUAAACCUGCACACAAAUCCCUGUCUUACCCAGUCUGUUUUCUGGGUCUGCUGACCACAGAUGAUCACAAAUGCAGAGGUUUUGUUUUUAACAAGUCUUUUUUUCUGAACAAUUGUUAUUACAACUUCUCUUAGGAAAAGAGGUAUCUUUUGAGGAAAAGAACCUUGCUGAGUCUCCUGGAGAUUUGAGGGGAAGCAGUUCUGCAAGAGGCAAGGGGAGGAAUUACUGGCUUUGCCCCUGAGCUGGGAGGAGACUAGGAAAGAGGAGAGAAGAGUGAGAGGGGCAAACAGAAGACACACAGAAGAGCAGAGAGGUGGUGAGAAGCCAGAAUUGGCGAGAAAGGCAAAAGGCUUUUAAGAAAGGUGAGGACAUCAUGCGGCUUUGAUGUGAACCUCCAGUCUGCCCUCUGAAAUCAUCGGUAAACACAGCGACAGCAACAGAAGCUCUGGGGGCCUGGUCUGUCUUCUGCAAGUCAAGGAAGGAGCCAAGUUUCCCCCCUGAGUCACCCUGGGCCACUGAUGGCACAUGUGAGGACACAGGUGCCCGUGGCGAGGCGUGUGAAUGAAGUCUUGGGCUCCCAGAAGCCUUGGGACUCCACUGGCCUGCGGGCCCCCAGAGACACCUGGGCCACAGUCUUCUGCUCCAAGCGGGUGUGACUUCAGCCAAGAGCUGUCAGGACAGGUCUACAGGUCCCAGGGAAACUGGGAAAGGAAAACAACUCUUUUCUGCCACCUCUCUCCCUUUGGAACCCAGGACAUGAAGGUCCGGAUGUUCAAAGUGGCACAGAGCAUGACAAUCCGGAUGUUCAAAGUGGCACAGAGCAUGACGACAGCGAAGGGGGGGACUGUCCCCUGAAAGCAGGGAAGAGACGGGGCUUCCUUUAACAACUGUAUUUAAAGAGAACAACUUCCAGUCAUUUCACUUAGAUCACCCCCUUACUGAAUUCACACACUGUAGUUACGGCUGGCGUUUUCCCACGGCCUCAGGUUUUAUGGAUCGUGAUCCUGGAAAGAAUUGGAUUUGCAUCAUCUAAAAAUUCAGCUAAUUCAGAACCCAAAAUCAAGUGAAAGGAGCCUCCUGCAGAGUCUCCAAGAAGUCACAGAGCUGCGUGUCCCCAUGCUGCAGACAGCGGAGCCCCCCGUGGACAUGGCCUUCAUGGUUCUGGAGGCUGAGAAGGUCAAGAUCAAGGUGCCAGCAGGUUUGGUGACUGGUGAGAGCUUACUUCUUCAUUCAUAGAGGGCCAUCAUUUUGCUGUGUCUUCACAUGGUGGAAGGGGUAAGUGGGCGCUCUGGAAUCUGUUUUAUAAGGGCUCUAAUUAUAUUCACGAGGAUGCCACCUAUUAUUAUUGUUAUGGCCGUAUCACCUUCCAAAGGCCUUGUCUCCUAAUACCAUCAUGUUGAGGGGUAAUUUUCAACAUGAAUUUGGGGGGGAUACACGUACAUGCAGUCUAUUGCACACUGACCGUAGAAGCAAUGCAGAAAUAGAGAUAAAAUAUCAACAUUAUUAGAUAAAAGGAAUUGGGGAACAGACUUAGAUUGGUAGCCACAUACUUCCUGGUGGGUCCCUCCCCCAUAGUAGAUUUACCAUGUAGAACUGCUACUCUGGAGUGGAUCACGGGGAGGCCAGGAUCAUAUCAUCCAGAGGAUAAUCUCUCUAAAAGGUCCUUCUCCAGCAUCGCUGAUCAAUGAGUGUCGCCUCCUUCCCAGGGGAAAUGGAAGGAGUGGUUCAUGGAUGGGAAUUUCUUAGGCAGUUUGGAUUGUUGGAACACCAUGGACUAGGUGCCUUAAACAACACUUCAUUUCUCAGGUUCUGGAGGGUGGAAAUCUGAGCCCAGAUGUCAGCAUGGUGAGAUCCUUGGUGAGGGCCCCCUUCCAGGUUACGG